GACAGAGGUCCCGAGCGUUAGGCGGAAUCACUGGGCUUAAAGCGUGUGUAGGCGGCGGCCUAAGUACCUUGUGAAAUCCCACGGCUCACCCGUGGAACUGCUCGGUAUACUGGGUCGCUUGAGCCACUUAGGGGCUACCGGAACAAAUGGUGGAGCGGUGAAAUGCGUAGAUAUCAUUUGGAACGCCAAUGGUGAAAACAGGUAGCUGGGAGUGUGCUGACGCUGAGACACGAGAGCGUGGGGAGCGAACCGG
rnacentral:rRNA from 1 species